rnacentral:sRNA from 1 species
CGAGGACUGGCGACGGCGAGGAGAUGGAGAAACUGACUAAAGCGCCUCGCGCGAGGUCCCUGAGGGUUCGAACCCAAGUCUGUCAGGAUCGGGAGCCCAGGUUGUCCCCAUCGUACUGGAUGUGGCUCAGCUCUGCAGGAAGCCGCGGCGUCUGCCUUCUAGUCUCACCUGUGGACACUUUGCCAAAGGAGUCGGGCCUGACGGUGGAAGAUGGGAAAUGGCCAAAAGAAUAAACCAUUUCCUCUUACUUACCGAAUGAAAAGCUUGCCUCAUCUUGGCGUUCAAGACUCUCUAAUAUGAUUCCACCUGUUGGGCUCUUUCUUCCAUUUGCCUCCGCAGAUAGUGUCUGCCUUCUGGAGAGCUGACCAAACACUAAGGGUAAGUCCUGUGCCUGAAUCCAGGCUGGCGGGAUGCAUGGGGGUCUUCACCAGGAGCAGCUGUGGAUGCCAGCAGUUUGGCAUGUCAGGUCUUAAGCUCAAUCAAUAAAAAAAGGCUGCGCUCUGAUUUGUGGA